CUUCGCUGAAGGUCAUGAAUCUGGUAACAACACCCAUUACAAUGCAGCUAAGACACAGGAGGGAAAAAUCCUAUGGAUUUAUUUUUGUUUUGAAAAACGGAAGAAUAUGUUUUGUCAUCCGGAACAUUUACUUAGGUGGUUCAGAACUUGUGUUUUGAAAAGAGCAUGCAAACCUUACAGAAGCACCAUGAACCAAAUAUAAUGAGGAAAUUAUAAAUGUAUUCAAGUCUUUUGAUUGCCAAAGGAAGAUGCUUUUCUAUCCUGUGCAUAAUUUUGAUUGUCCACAGAACUGCUUCUUUUUAAUAUCAGGAAAGAUCCUGGGAAGGACCAAUUGCAGAAAUUCAUUCUGCCUUUUUGUUUCAUGGAAAU
rnacentral:lncRNA from 1 species